CGCACAUUGCGCCCCUUGGUAUUCCGAGGGGCAUGCCUGUUCGAGCGUCAUUACAAUCCUCAAGCCUGGCUUGGUAUUGAGCUACGCUACUUACCUAGCGGGCUUUAAAAUCAGUGGCGGUGCUGUCGAGGCCCUGAGCGUAGUAAAUCUCCUCGCUAUAGGGACCCGGCGGCUACCGGUCAUAACCCCCCAACUUUCUAAGUUUGACCUCGGAUCAGGUAGGGAUACCCGCUGAACUUAA
rnacentral:misc_RNA from 1 species